rnacentral:misc_RNA from 1 species
CGCUAUUGAAGCUCCAUCUACAAAUGGGUAAGACUUUGGUUUUAGUGUAUACGAGUUUUUGAAAAUAAAGGAGCAAUGCCAAUCCUCUUGAUAGAACAAGAAAUUGGUUAUUGCUCUUUUAUUUAGUAGUCCUUCCUUUCGUUACAUUUCGUUACAUAAGUUUGUUUUUUCUUUAUUUUAUUUUAACCCCCCUCUAUCCUAUUUUACCUUUUACCAUAAAAAAGAAAAAAAAAGGAUUUAAAAUUUGAAAUAAGUUUGAUUUCGUUUUGUUGGCUUUUAUGUUAGUAUYGUAUUAUACGUCUUUUAUGGACUAACUAAWAUAAUUUAUAAAAAAUUAUAAAA